UGCCGCAGCUCACCCUGGCGGCGCCGGCAAUGGCCUCGGCGACGCCGCAGCCGGUUCAAACCUCGGGCGCCCCGACGCUCGACACCUGGACACAACCUUGACGUGGGCGCGCGAGGGCGGAGGGCUCCGACUGGCGAUGGGGACCCAGCCCAUGGCGCUGACGAGGCAAUUGAGGAAUACUAUGGACUACUCUGGAGCAUCCACAGUGUCUUCCUCACCUAUUAGGGUUUUAGCUACCAACUCCGCCGCCAUCAACCUGGUCUGGAUUCGUCGAGAUUUGUUCAUGGCGAAGAGCUUCACUGCCGAUGACUGUUUCCCGGUAAGCUCCACCGAUCGAUUUGCUCCAGAACCUAUUUUCUUCAGUUUCGUUCAAGAUUUCUGGAGUAGGAUUCACGGGAAGGCAACUUUUGCCGACAUCCUCAAGCGAUUGUCGAUGGAAGGAGGAAGGGUUCGGGACAGGGAGGUGGUCGCGGUGGUGGUGGUCGUGGCAAUCAGCGGAAGGGCGGAUUUCGCAAUCCUUACCAAUAUAAUCGCCCCAAUCAGACUCAGGGCGUGGCGCCCUCCCUGGACUCGGCUCAGGCAACGGGGCAGAAUCAGAUUCCAAAUCAACACGUUCGGGCCCCUCAACAGACUAAGCCGCAGAAUCAGCAGCAGAACCAAGUACAGAUGGGACAGGAUCAACAUCAACAGCCGAUAGGGCAAGUUCAACAGGCUCUAAUUCAAUACCAACAACCUCAGAUCGCUCAGGCAACUCAGGCUUCUUACUAGAUUUAGCCGUCGCAGCCGAUGGUGCAGCCUGUGCAGUUCCAAUUUGGACAGCCCCUUUAGCAACAAAAUGUUUGGUUACAACUAACAAUUUGGUCAGCAAAUUCCCAUCUAUCAUCCGCAGAUGCAGGGGCAGCAACAGUUUACUGGAAUGGCAGCACAGACUACUCGAGCUCCACAGGCUUUGUAUCAACAAGUUCCACAGACCCAACAGAUACAGAUUGAACAGACACAACAUUCUAUGAAUCAGCCACAACAAGGGCAGCAAAUGGUCCAAUACCAGCAAAAUCCUCUGGUGGGACAGCCUUCACAAGAUUUUCAGAUGUUCCCACAGUAGGUGGUGCAGCAGCUACAGAACCCUCAACUGAUACAACACAACCAGAACGCCCAAUGGUGCAAUCUAGCAAUCCCUUGAUGGAUAAUCUUCCUCAUAAGGAUGAAACUACACUAUGUGGUCAGGUUCCACAAGCCAAUCAGAUGACCAUGGAUAAGCAAAAACAAACUACUACAAACCAAGCAGAGCCAGUGCUGAACACUGGAUAUAAGAGAGUUGGUAACCAACAAUAGCAGCAAAAACAGAUCUCUCAAGGAAAUGGUGCCCAACAUCAGAAUCCUAGACCUAGCAAGCAGAAAGCUAGUGAAGCAGAACCUGUCCAAGUUAUGGAUCCUAGAUAUAAAGAUCUGAUCUGUUUUAAUUGUGGUGGUCCAGGUCACUAUGUCAACAAUUGUGCCAGACCAAAAUUAUGUUUCAUGUGUGGUAAUGUUGGACACCAUAUGGACAACUGUCUAGCUUGGGGCAGAGAGAUCCCUAUGGCUCAGUUUAUUGGGAGUGCUAACAAUGGUCUUGGUUUUGUUCAUGUCAAUGUGGAUGAAAAAGCUUCUACAAAAUGGUUGAACAUGUCAAAUUGUGGCAUUAUUGCUGUUACUCAUGGAUCUAUCUCUGUUAAGGAACUGGGGGAAUGUAUGGAAGCUACUUGGGAUAGCUCCUGGCCAUGGCAAGUGAGACAACUUGAGGAGAAAAGCUUCUUACUAAGAUUUCCACCUACAAAAAGAGUUGAAGACUUAGUGGGUCUCCCUUCUAUCAACUUGAGAGAAGGACAGGAUAACCAGAGAGUGACUGUGAAGAUUCUAGCAUGGGAUGGUGAUACACCUGAUGUGGGAGAACUAACUGAAAUUUGGUUACAAAUCAAAGGGAUACCACCUAAAUGGUAUACCUGGAGAGUGAUAGCACAUAUAUCAAAACACUUUGAGUUGCUAACUGAUGUUGAUUGGAGUGAAAUUUUUAAGUCUUUCUAUGAAACUGUUAGAGUUAAACUUGCUGUCAGAAAUCCUUCUAAAAUCCCAGCUGAAAGAUUGAUAGUACUGAAGAAAAAGUUCUACCUGCUACAGUUUACUGUUGCGUGGGAUAACAUUGAUAUUGACAAAAUUAUGGGUCUAGAUGACAGAGAUUAUGAUGGUGAUGAGGAAUAUGACGAUGAUAACAUUAUGGAUGAUGAGCUCCAAGAUUUGGAGAAGAAUAGGGGACCUGUCCAGGAAAAACCAGGAAAGGAAGCACCCCCAAAACCCCCUGUAGGAGGGUCACAAUCUGCUCCACCAAAAACCACUCAACUACCAGAUUUACAGACCUUAGUCUGUGCCAAUUUAGUGGAUUCUGAUGAGGAAGAAGUGUCACCUGACAACUCAGAAACCCAAUGGAUGACAACUCUGUCCAGCCAGUCACCCUUUACUCAUGAGGCUGAAUGUAGCAUGAAGCUGAGUCUUACUGAAGAACAUAACAAGUCUGACAAGUAUGUGGUUACAAAAGAGGACCUGAAUGUGAUGCAACUGGAAAAUAUCUCAGACUAUCUGAAUGGCCUCAACUCUGCAACAACUGCUCUGACUUUUGGAGAGAAUGAAGGUACUAGAGAUACACCUCUUGGAACUGAUCUCCCUACCGAGGAAGAAUUUCCAACUCUUGCAGAAGCAAAAUGAAAAACUAAGAAGAAAAACAAAUGGGGACCUGUGGUGGCCACAAGAAAGAGUAGCAGAAUUGCCCAAGAUGGUAAAACUGUACUGAGCAGAGCUCAGGAGAUCAUCUCUCAAAAGAACUUGGAGAAACCACCAAAAAAAGAUACCUAUGAAUCUGGAGGAGGAGGAAAUUAAUUCCUUAUCGCAGAUUUUUGGAUGCAAACAAAGUAAUCUCCCUAUUAUCUACCUGGGAGUUCCACUACACCAUAGCAAGUUGAGAAAAGAGGAUCUUCAACCUGUGAUUGACAAAGUCAUCAAAAGAGUAGCUGGGUGGAGAGGGCGCCUCCUCUCUUAUGGAGGUAUUGUGGAGGAAACUGCUGCGCUUAUUGAAGCGUUGGCAGCCAUUGUGCCCCAAGAGGGAUAUCCAGAUAUGGGACAGAUGUCUCCUGCUCAUGGAGACCAAGGCAGCGGACAUUCCCCGGCUGCAGUGAGCAAGAAACGCCGCACCUCUAUGCUUGGACCGGGAACUACGAAGGUGGGGGAACACAAGCCACAGCUGCAGCUGACAGCACGUUGAACUUCAAUUCAGGCAGAUGUGCAUCCGGUGUUCUGCCCUACUGGCGUCAGAAACUUAGACUGUCAAAAUGUUGCAGUAUUUUGCUUUCUUUAGCUUUCGUUUGAUGGCUCUGUAGAGCAUGUUUUUUAAGUCAGUUUCAAUUUGGUUGUAACCGGGAGCUUUAACUGAACAUGUUUGUUUCGUUUCUGAUGAAAUGGAACAGGCUAGCGAUGCCUUUUAUCUAAAAAAAGAUGGGG